rnacentral:tRNA from 1 species
AAGAUUUUAAGUUAAUUAAACUAUUAACUUUCAAAGUUAAAAAUAUUUUUUUUUUUAAAUUAAAUCUUA